AGGCUUUGGAAUGCCUAGAAACCCUCCAAAGUGGCCUUUUUCGAAUUGGACUUAACUUGGGCUCAGCAGGGACACGCCCGUGUGACACGGCCGUGUGACGUGAUUGCCAGGCCAUGUUCAAUCCGUUAAAUUGCACACGGCCGUGUGGGUCAAUGGUCAGGCCGUGUGAAUCGUGAAAGCCUUGGUCGACACCCUCAAAAGAAACGGG
rnacentral:lncRNA from 1 species